rnacentral:rRNA from 1 species
GAUGAACGCUAGCGGGAGGCCUAAUACAUGCAAGUCGAGCGGUAGAGUGACUUCGGUUGCUUGAGAGCGGCGAACGGGUGAGUAACGCGUACACAAUCUACCUUUAAGAGGGGAAUAGCCCUGGGAAACUGGGAUUAAUGCCCCAUGGCAUCACGAGACGGCAUCGUUUUGUGAUUAAAGCUGAGGUGCUUAGAGAUGAGUGUGCGUCUGAUUAGCUAGUUGGUGCGGUAACGGCGCACCAAGGCGACGAUCAGUAGGGGGCGUGAGAGCGUGGACCCCCACACGGGUACUGAGACACGGACCCGACUCCUACGGGAGGCAGCAGUAAGGAAUAUUGGUCAAUGGAGGAAACUCUGAACCAGCCAUCCCGCGUGCAGGAAGAAUGCCCUAUGGGUUGUAAACUGCUUUUAUCUGGGAAGAAAAGUCGGGAUUUAUCCUGAUCUGACGGUACCAGAGGAAUAAGCACCGGCUAACUCCGUGCCAGCAGCCG